rnacentral:rRNA from 1 species
GAUGAACGCUAGCGGCAGGCUUAACACAUGCAAGUCGAGGGGUAACAGGGAUUGCUUGCAAUCCGCUGACGACCGGCGCACGGGUGCGUAACGCGUAUACAAUCUGCCUUACACUGGGGGAUAGCCUUUAGAAAUGAAGAUUAAUACCCCAUAGAAUGUUAGUAUCGCAUGGUACAUACAUUAAAGGUUACGGUGUAAGAUGAGUAUGCGUCCUAUUAGCAAGUUGGUGAGGUAACGGCUCACCAAAGCGACGAUAGGUAGGGGCCCUGAGAGGGGGAUCCCCCACACUGGUACUGAGACACGGACCAGACUCCUACGGGAGGCAGCAGUGAGGAAUAUUGGACAAUGGGCGAGAGCCUGAUCCAGCCAUGCCGCGUGCAGGAGACUGCCCUA